GCCCACAGGCCACAGCCACAGCCUCCGGGGCACAUGUCUCUCUGAUGACGAUACUUGUGUUUGAGUGAGUGGGUCAAGAGAACAGCAGUCUGUCUGCAGGGUUAAAGUCUGGACUGCGGAGUCUGCUCAGGCUCAACAUUUGGCUUCACCACGUAUUAGCCGGGUAACGUGGACCCAGUGACUUGACAUCUCUGAGCCUCAGUCUCCUUGUCUGAAAAGAGGGGGAAAGGAUAGAACCUGCCCCAGAUUUGUUGUGAGGAUCGAAUGAGGUAGUGUAUGUGAUGAGCUUAGAAUGGAAAAUGCUCUACAAGCACCCGGAGGGCAGGGACACGCUGAGAGGCCGUGGGGCACAGGCGCAGGGCACAGGCCUGUGCCCUGUCUGUCUGGGUUUGAACCGGCUCUCACACAAAACUAGUGAGCUGAUUCCUCUGUACUUGAGCGGCCUCAUCUGUGAGGUGGGAUGCUGACCAGCACCGCAGACUGCUGUGAGCAUCGGUGGCGUUUAGAGCAGAGCCCGGCACACAGUCAGCACCACGCGAGCGUCUGCUCUUAUCCACCAUCCUCUCUCCGCCCGUCAGGAUUGUGUCUGGUGCCAGGUGGGUGCCCUGUUUGCUCAAACGCAUGAUGAGUUAUCUUUAAGAAUUACUGGAAAAUGUCUUCUUUCCAGUUCACUAUUUUGCACAUUCAUUCAAGAAACUUACUGAAUUCUUAACAGCAGCAACAGCUAGUACCACCUCCCACUGACGAGGACUUCUGGAGUUCUCUGCCUAGUGCUAGGGUGUGAAGAGGAAAUUUUGAAAAGAUGGUCUUCGCCUUCAAGGAUUUCAUGGACCAGCAGAGGAAAUAAGGAAGGAGGAGGAUGACAGCAAAGUGCAUUUAGCCCUGGGCGCCACACCACUUCACUGUCUCGUUCAAUCCUCACAGCCGUGAAAUGGUGAUGAAAGCUCAAGACCCUUUCUUCAGAAAACGCAUGUGGACACGUGUAUAAGAAAACCUCUGUCCUCCCCCUGGAUUUCUCCUUUACUCUCACACGACUACCAUAUUCACAGCACUUCUGACACCGGAUGGGGGGGCUUCCCCACACCAAGCGACUCUGUGACACUAGAUCCAAGUAGUACAUGCAGAUAAACAACUCUGUCGUCAAGGACCCUGGGCCACCAACGCAGCCUUCCUUCUCUUGCUUUAAAGAGGCAAGCACCGUCACGAAUUUAGUUCAUAUUCUUCCAAUCUGAUUUGGAGUGAUGCCACAGGCACUUACACAUAAAACGUUCCCCUUUAUUAUUACCUGAUUGUUAACCGUCUCCUGUUUAAGGGACACUAGACUGCUACUCCUUCCUCCCCUAAAAAAUCCUGCACUUGUUUACUGUGCUUGAAAUACCAUUCCAUGAACCAAGGAUUGAAAUAAAGCCUACACUGAGAUCCAGGGAUGGAUGGGGUUCCGUCUGGAGAAGAGGCUGUAAUGCUGAGGCCGGGCUGUGUGGAAGAACAUCCAGGUGGGACAGCGGAGAAGCAAGGAGUGCAUCUACAGAUGUCUAAAGAGCUGGAAUUCCAUCUCUGCCCCCAGGGCUGCCUUAACCAUAGACUACCCCAUCUCAGGUGACCGCAUCCAUACAGGAGCUCAAGGCAAAAUCCUUGACCUGGUCUUCGGUUCUGUUUCUUGCAUUCCAAGUAGAUCAGUAGAUUGAGUAGAUUCCAAGAGAUCUUUCUUUGUUUUGUUCACUGAUGACUUCCAAAUGCCUGGCUCAUGAUCGGCUCUUAGUAAAUAUUUGUUUGGGAGCUGGAGAUGCCCAAGCCUUCAGGGCAGACAGCCUGGGUUGGGUCAUCUGGCUCCAGCAGGUUCUGCCUGAGUGCCCAGGGCACGGUGUUUAACUUCUGAGGUUUGUGGGCUGUUUUGGGCCUGGACAGGGUAGGCACUCCAUCAUAAUUCACUGGGUGUGUCAACUCUGUACCAGGCACUUCUGCCCAUCUCUUGCCAAGGCUGUGCUAAGCAUAGUCUCCUCCCCCUG
ensembl:lncRNA